AUACAUGAAAUUAGAUGCAGUAAUUUAUACGUAUUUGGCGUGCUGUCCAGGAGAGGGCUCCGAGCUCGAAAUCUGGCCCGAGCCCAGAGUACUCCCCCCUUUACUGGGAUAGAAACCAGCCGAGAGUGAGGUGAUGGGGUGGUGGAGGGAUGCUGUGAAACUGUCAUGGGACAGAGACUUACCAUCUCUGUACCACUCUAUCUCAGGCUGGAAGCGUUGAAGUGAAGGGUAGAUGAUAACAGAGCAGCCCAAACUCAACGUCUCACCCUCACGUCCAAAAGACACACCAAACUUCUCCACAAUGUGCGUCUCGAAGGUCACACCAUACUCCAGACAUGGUGCUGCAGUACACACACAUAUUAAAUCCAGUAUUAUUUUAUGAAAAUUCAAUGUUGCUGGAUAAGAUUGGCUCCAGGAUUCAUCAUAUUCACACAUUUGUUUAACAAAACACACAUUCAAUUCA